UACGUAGGGGGCAAGCGUUGUCCGGAAUCAUUGGGCGUAAAGCGCGUGUAGGCGGUUCAGUAAGUCUGCUGUGAAAGUCCAGGGCUCAACCCUGGGAUGCCGGUGGAUACUGCUGGGCUAGAGUACGGAAGAGGCGAGUGGAAUUCCCGGUGUAGCGGUGAAAUGCGCAGAUAUCGGGAGGAACACCAAUUGCGAAGGCAGCUCGCUGGGACGUUACUGACGCUGAGACACGAAAGCGUGGGGAGCAAACAGG
rnacentral:rRNA from 1 species